ensembl:snoRNA SNORA54 small nucleolar RNA, H/ACA box 54
GAGCACUGUUCGUGACCCGAUAGCCUGGCUGUGGCUGACGAGUUCCAUUCCAGUGCCACAGCAUUGCCAUGGAUUGACACACGACUGACUGCCUGGUGGCUUCCGGUUUCAGUCCUGGAGACAAAU